GACGAACGCUGGCGGCGUGCCUAAUACAUGCAAGUCGAACGAGAGCGACCGGUGCUUGCACUGGUCAAUCUAGUGGCGAACGGGUGAGUAACACGUGGGUAACCUGCCCAUCAGAGGGGGAUAACAUCCGGAAACGGAUGCUAAAACCGCAUAGGUCUUCGAGCCGCAUGGCUUGAAGAGGAAAAGAGGCGCAAGCUUCUGCUGAUGGAUGGACCCGCGGUGCAUUAGCUAGUUGGUGAGGUAACGGCUCACCAAGGCCGUGAUGCAUAGCCGACCUGAGAGGGUGAUCGGCCACAUUGGGACGGAGACACGGCCCAAACUCCUACGGGAGGCAGCAGUAGGGAAUCUUACGCAAUGGACGCAAGUCUGACGGAGCAACGCCGCGUGAGUGAAGAAGGUUUUCGGAUCGUAAAACUCUGUUGUUAGAGAAGAACAAGUGCUAGAGUAACUGUUAGCGCCUUGACGGUAUCUAACCAGAAAGCCACGGCUAACUACGUG
rnacentral:rRNA from 1 species